CUGAUGUACGCCGUUCGUUGGGAAGUCGCGGAUCGAGCUCGUUCGGAUUUGUCGUUUCUCAGGAGGACCGUUCGUGCGCGUGGGUAUCUCGGUUGAGCCGUUGGAGGUCGAGCGAGCGUGCGGGUUUCCUCCUGUCAACUUCUUGCCGACGUUGAACGAGCGCUUGAGAGCUUUCGUCUUCGGCUACUGCUGUUGUGGAUUCUGACCGAUGCAAGGGAGUCGCGAGCUAGAGUCGUCCCUUCCUUGGUCGUUUGCUAGAGGAGCACCCGUCAGAGGUAGUUUUGGGUUUCAUGUACAUACUGUUUUGUUGUUGUGGUACUUGCUGGAGCGAGGGGUGUUGUAGCCUGUGUAUGUACAGUGAACCCAUUUUGUUUUAUAUAUACAUGUGUUUGUUUUUA